rnacentral:tRNA from 1 species
GGAAAUGUGCCUGAACCAAAGGACUAUUUUGAUAGAAUAGAUCAUAGGAAUGAACUUCCUCAUUUCCC